UAUGUGAUCGUCUCUCGCAUAUCAAUAAGCGGAGGAAAAGAAACUAACAAGGAUUCCCCUAGUAACGGCGAGUGAAGCGGGAAGAGCUCAAAUUUGAAAUCUUAAAGGGUUUCCCUUUACGAAUUGUAGUUUAAAGAAGUGUUUUCUGUUGAGGUUUUGGUAAAGGUUCUUUGGAAUAGGACAUCAUAGAGGGUGAGAAUCCCGUAUUUGACCUUUACUUUCAACUUUGUGAUACACUUUCAAAGAGUCGGAUUGUUUGGGAAUGCAGUCCAAAAUGGGUGGUAAAUUUCAUCUAAAGCUAAAUAUUGGCGAGAGACCGAUAGCGAACAAGUACCGUGAGGGAAAGAUGAAAAGAACUUUGAAAAGAGAGUUAAACAGUACGUGAAAUUGUCAAAAGGGAAGCGUUUGACACCAGUGUUGUUUUUCUGAAAAUCAAUUAAAGAACUGUUUAUGCUAAGUUGUUUAGACUUUAUCAGCUAUCUGUUUAGUUUUGAGCUUUUCUUUAAUGCACUUUUCAGUUAACAAGUCAACAUCAAUUUCUUUUGCUGUAAAAAAGCUUGAGGAAGGUGGCUUGAGAUUCGUCUUAAGUGUUUAUAGCCUCUUGCCUAUGCAGUCGGAGAGAUUGAGGUCUGCAGCGUAGAUCCUUCGGGGCUAAAUGCAUUUGUGCUAAGUUAUAGCAUUUUAUAGACAACUUGUUGACUAUGAUCUGUCUUGUAGCUUACUCGCUUAUGUUAUUUUACCUACGCUUAGGAUGUUGAGUAGCGACAUACGCAC
rnacentral:rRNA from 1 species